UGCAGCUUUGGCUCUUGGUUUUCCUCUCUAUAUUACCUGCCCCUUUUGUUCUGUGCCUUGUCUACCCUGUCUGUGCCAGUGAGAGAGGCUGGGCGUGGCCAAUCUCGUUCCACUCACCUGCCUGCUCAAUCAACCAGCUGCAAGUCUUCAGCACUGAUUGCCACCUCCUCCUGCUGCAGUAUAUAACCUGAGCCCUUUCCCAAUUUCCAGUUUGUGCAUCCUCGAUUCCUCUCCUCGAUUCCUCUCCUUGCGUCUUAGUCCGGCCCACAGGAGAUCCGAGCCGAGGAGUCAAGGAUGAGCCUGCCUCGAGGAUCGAGGAGAGUUUAAAAUUCCAACACAAAGAAAGCGGAAUGUAACGGACAUCCGUCCGGAAAAAGCAACAUCCAGCAGAAUUUCCGGUGGUCUACGGAGCAAUCCCAGAAGUGGAAUGUUGUGAACAAAGACUACCUCUGUGCCGUGCAACGCUCGUCUGUUCAUCUGCCACUCUCAGCCUCGUCUUUGUUCACCAGAGUCCUCACUUGGAUGCCCCCUUCACUACCGCUGGACACCGGCUCCCUGCCUCCAUGCUCUGUUCACCACUUUUUCACCUUUUUGCAUAUUUUACUUGUUUUUUGUGAAUAAAUUGUUGAUUGUUGAA